UGCAUCUGGAGCCAGCGAGGAUGAGAACCUCCGGGGGCGGGAGGUUCGACCCGAGCGAAGCGAGAGAACGUUGCGCGAGCAACGGCCCG
rnacentral:sRNA from 1 species